CUCUAUUUUUCAGGGUUUUUGACAGUCUGUCGACCACCGUCGGUUUCAUUUUUCUUUAAUUGGAUUUCCAACACCUCCGAAACGCUGGGUUGCAGAUACAUUAUUUAAUCUUGAUAGGGAUUUUCAACAACCUGAAUAUCGCCAUUGCCAUCGCCAUACCUAGGGGGCAGAGUUAAUUGAUGUCAUUUGAAUUGGUGAUUUCUUGUUGAUUCCUGGUGUGCCAGUCCGGGU